rnacentral:rRNA from 1 species
UACGAAGGGGGCUAGCGUUGUUCGGAAUCACUGGGCGUAAAGGGUGCGUAGGCGGCGCGGUAAGUCAGAUGUGAAAUCCGGAGGCUCAACCUCCGAAUUGCAUCCGAUACUCCCGCGCUAGAGAAUUGUAGAGGAGCUUGGAAUUCUCGGUGUAGCAGUGAAAUGCGUAGAUAUCGAGAAGAACGCUCGCAGCGAAAGCGAAGCUCUGGGCAAUUUCUGACGCUGAUGCACGAAGGCUAGGGGAGCAAACGGG